CGUGGGGAGCGAACAGGAUUAGAUACCCUGGUAGUCCACGCCGUAAACGAUGAGUGCUAAGUGUUAGGGGGUUUCCGCCCCUUAGUGCUGCAGCUAACGCAUUAAGCACUCCGCCUGGGGAGUACGGUCGCAAGACUGAAACUCAAAGGAAUUGACGGGGGCCCGCACAAGCGGUGGAGCAUGUGGUUUAAUUCGAAGCAACGCGAAGAACCUUACCAGGUCUUGACAUCCUCUGACAAUCCUAGAGAUAGGACGUCCCCUUCGGGGGCAGAGUGACAGGUGGUGCAUGGUUGUCGUCAGCUCGUGUCGUGAGAUGUUGGGUUAAGUCCCGCAACGAGCGCAACCCUUGAUCUUAGUUGCCAGCAUUCAGUUGGGCACUCUAAGGUGACUGCCGGUGACAAACCGGAGGAAGGUGGGGAUGACGUCAAAUCAUCAUGCCCCUUAUGACCUGGGCUACACACGUGCUACAAUGGACAGAACAAAGGGCAGCGAAACCGCGAGGUUAAGCCAAUCCCACAAAUCUGUUCUCAGUUCGGAUCGCAGUCUGCAACUCGACUGCGUGAAGCUGGAAUCGCUAGUAAUCGCGGAUCAACAUGCCGCGGUGAAUACGUUCCCGG
rnacentral:rRNA from 1 species